UUGAAUGAAUGUAGAGUUGUGUUGUCGCUGGCUGGAUGGAAUUAAUUUUCUGUUCAGCAUGUGCACGCCUUCUCUUUCAUCCACACACACCUGUGCACUUGUGAGACUGAGGACCGUAAAAAAGUCUUCAGUCUACUUAAUAUACAAACUCCAUUUAAUUGAACUGAAUGUAAUUGAUGUAACGCAUCAUUAGAAC
rnacentral:misc_RNA from 1 species